rnacentral:rRNA from 1 species
UACGGAGGAUGCAAGCGUUAUCCGGAAUGAUUGGGCGUAAAGCGUCCGCAGGUGGCUAUGUAAGUCUGCUGUUAAAGAGUGAGGCUCAACCUCAUACGAGCAGUGGAAACUACAUGGCUAGAGUGCGUUCGGGGCAGAGGGAAUUCCUGGUGUAGCGGUGAAAUGCGUAGAGAUCAGGAAGAACACCGGUGGCGAAAGCGCUCUGCUAGGCCGCAACUGACACUCAUGGACGAAAGCUAGGGGAGCGAAUGGG